UCAGGCGGUUAUAGCGUUGGGGAUCCACCUCUUCCCAUUCCGAACAGAGAAGUUAAGCCCAGUGGCGCCGAUGGUACUGCGUUUCCCCGCGGGAGAGUAGGUAGCCGCCGUUC
rnacentral:rRNA from 1 species